CCUUAUUCUGCCCUUCAUACCACCGUCUCUCUCUCUCUCUCUACCAACAAUCGCUCUCACCAACCCUAUCUCCUUCUCGCAUAUGUCAUUCAGCGUUCUCUAACCCUAACCCUCACCAUUGGCGGAAGAUACCAACGAUUUGAUCCGUAAUACAGUAUUUUUUCAUUGCCAAUUUCUAGUUGCAACGAAGCCGAGAUUCAGGCUGAGGGUGUUUUUAAUCAAAGGAUUCAGAAUUUGGCUCUUAACCUCGACAAGGUUUUGAUGGUUUCAGAAGUGAAUUCUACAAAAUUAAACAAGACAAUUAUGACCCAGUUGGUCAAAGUUCAUAGAAACAUAGAUUUAGGGAUGAAGCUUCCUGUUUAUGAUGAAAGAAGAGCUCUUUACACAGCUGGAAGACUUCCCUUUAUAGCAAAAGAAUUCACUGUUACAAUUGAAGAUGAUAUAGAAUGGAUUGGCAUCACAAAAUGGACACCUAAGCGAAGUACGGUCCAGCAUUCGGGCUCACGACCCAUCUUCUUCCGAUGACGUCCUAGGGGCUCUUCGAAAAUCCUUAAUAUGGUAAACAAUGUUGUUCCUCCCAAAACGGGUUGACGCUCUUUUUGAAUUAACUAAAGGGCUUAUUAAGGAUCUGGAGGGAGAUUCAGACGAUGAGUUUUUUACUACCUUUUCAGUGGCAACGAAGUCGAGAUUCAGACUGAGGGUGUUUUUAAUCAAAGGAUCCAGAAUUUGGCUCUUAACCUGGACAAGGUGAGAUAUGUGAUGACAAACGUGUUUGGAGAUCCAAAACGCGCACCACCGUUAUUAGAGCAGCUUAGUCCGAAAAAAGUAGUUUCUCAUACCUGGAAAGGUGAGGGAUCGUUUGUCAAGGAACUUAUUCAAUGCAUUGCACCUCAUUUGGAAGAUGGACACCUAACCGAAGUACGGUCCAACAUUCGGGCUCACGACCCAUCUUCAUCUUCUUCUGAUGACGUCCUAGGGGCUCUUCGAAAAUCCUUAAUAUGGUAAACAAUGUUGUUCCUCCCAAAACGGGUUGGGUUGACGGUUUCCCCAUCAACAUUUUUACCAAGUUAUUUCUGUCUUACAAGUUGCGGGAUGAGGUGCGGAACCUUCCUUGCUCACCAAAAUGUCGACAUGAUGCUGCUGCAGACUUGAUACUCAUUUAAACUGUUUUGAAUAUAAAGUUAUAUGUGUUUUCUUUUUUUAGCGUUCAAUCCGUGUGAUACACGGGUAAUAACCUAGUAUGA